GAUGAACGCUGGCGGCGUGCCUAACACAUGCAAGUCGAGCGAACAGACGAGGCGCUUGCUCCUCUGACGUUAGCGGCGCACGGGUGAGUCACACGUGGAUAACCUACCUAUCAGACUGGGAUAACUUCGGGACACCGGAGCUAAUACCGUAUAAUAUAUUGAACCGCAUGGUUCAAUGGUGAAAGUCGGUGUUUGUGUCAGUUAUAGAGGGAUCUGCGCCGCAUGAGCUGGUUGGUAAGGUAACCGCUUAGGACGGCAACGAUGCGUAGCCGACGUGCGAGGGGGAUCGGCCACACGGGAGGGGAGCCGCGGACCAGAGGCCUACGGGAGGCAGCAGUAGGCAAUCGUCGGCAAUGGGCGGGAGUUUGACGGAACGGCGGCGCGUGAGAGAUGGAGGUGUCGGGUGCGGAAAGACCGGUUAUGGGUGAAGAACCAAUUUGUAAGGAGCUAUGGCCGGCUUGACGGUACCGGAUCAGGAAGCCACGGCUAACUACGUG
rnacentral:rRNA from 1 species